rnacentral:rRNA from 1 species
AACCUUUACACUGCACGACAGCGCGAUAAGGGAAUCCCAAGUGCGUAGGCAUAGAGCCUACGCUUUUGUCCACCGUAGGGAGGUGGACGAAUAAGGGCUGGGCAAGACCGGUGCCAGCCGCCGCGGUAAUACCGGCAGCCCGAGUGAUGGCCGAUCUUAUUGGGCCUAAAGCGUCCGUAGCUGGCCGCACAAGUCCAUCGGAAAAUCCACCCGCUCAACGGGUGGGCGUCCGGUGGAAACUGUGUGGCUUGGGACCGGAAGGCGCGACGGGUACGUCCGGGGUAGGAGUGAAAUCCCGUAAUCCUGGACGGACCGCCGAUGGCGAAAGCACGUCGCGAGAACGGAUCCGACAGUGAGGGACGAAAGCUAGGGUCUCGAACCGGAUUAGAUACCCGGGUAGUCCUAGCCGUAAACAAUGCCUGCUAGGUGUGGCUCCCACUACGAGUGGGUGCUGUGCCGUAGGGAAGCCGCUAAGCAGGCCGCCUGGGAAGUACGUCCGCAAGGAUGAAACUUAA